AUUGCAUCAAGAGGCAUUGCAGGUGUGGCCGCUUUUGUGUCACAUUUGUGUCAUUAGUUGACAGAAAGGAAAAGUGACUUAUCCAGGCCCAGUGUUCUGGCUGGUGAACAUCUGAAUGAUUAAUAGGUUGACACU
ensembl:snoRNA